AUGGACAUUUGUCUUGACAAACACCAGCUGUUGAGGUUUACUUCAAAGAGGUGAGCCAUCGCCUCCAGGCCAACCUGGAUAAUGUUACACAACACAGUGCAGUGUGAGGUGUCCACGUUCACGACAUCAUAUGCUGAACUUGGGACUGAGGAAACCUCUCUGUUGGAGCAGGAAUUUGAAGGGGAGUUUUCAUUGGGUUUUCCUAGUCAGAGGGUCACGGGGAGCCUGGAGCCUAUCCUAGAGGACUCUGGACACAAGGCCGGGGACACCCUGGAGGGGGGUGCCAGUCCAUCGCAGGGCACAACCACACAUGAAUUCGCACACCCAUUCACUCACUACGGACAAUUUAGAGAUGCAGAUCAGCAUACAACGCAUCCAGGGAAAUCUUGGCGUGGCAAGAUCUUGGGGUGGCUUCCUGGAGUAUCCCUAUACUGAAGAAAAAGGGCAAAACCUCUUUUCCCACAUUUCCCACAGAAUAUUUACCAUGUCAAAUCAAACAGGAUAUAAUUUACUAGGGGUUAAAUCUACAGGUCAUUUUUGUAGUACUAAAAGACGGCCUAAUCUUUCCAGACACAAAACAGAGCAGUCUGUUCGAAUGACUAGCAUUUAUGAUUCAGACAAAACUAAAACCCCACUGAUACAUUGGUAAUAAUUUCUCCACCUUCCUCAGAAAAAACUAAUCUUUAUUCAGUACUCAGGACAUUGCACAGAGAACGAAGGAUGAGGUUUCCCUUUUGUUUGAUCAAGAUCGUGGUUAAGGAGACACAGUUUGUGUUGAUAUUUAUUUGUUUAAUUGACCUGGACAUAAUUAAUGUAAAAUGUAAUGAUAAAAAGAACUGUGUGGAAUGCUGAUACAACUGUACGAAAUCUUAGGUUAGCUACUAUCCAGUUUGAAUUUUGCAACAUUAAACAUGGUAGCAUUAAAUUUACAACAAUAGAAAAUUGUAUCCAUUGUCUGUAACUUCAGGAAGCAAGUUAGCUAGCUGGCUUCCACUGAAAUCUGCUGUACUUAUCAGUAGCUGUAAUUACGAUCACAUUGAAGUGAAGUACAGCUGUGGUGACUGGCAGGGCGCCCAGCCAUGUGCAAGUAACGGGAAAGGCAGUCCUGGUAAUGGUCUAUCCCUCAGAAAGACUCUCCCAGCACACAGCACACCACACCGGUGAUAUGCCAAAUAGCUGUAAAGGUUCCUUCCUAGUUCAUUGCCAGCUUGGAUGAGCAAACUUGUCCACAGUCCACAGUCACUGUCAAACCUUGAACUCACAUUAUUUUGUACACAGGUAGCAUUUUCUCUUUUGCUCUACCCUAGCUGAUGUAAGGGGUUCUCUGGCCAAGUGGUGCCCUACCUCAGUGUGAUGGUUGAUGUAAUCUGAAUACCAUGUUCUCUAGUGUGUAUUAAGUGGGGUGGUGCUCGCAGAUUGCGUCACUUCAGAGCAUUGGGGAUGCAAGGCAAGGAGUCUCGCACUGCAGUGUGGCAGGCCAACAAUAAGAGUGGGAAAUAUGUGUACCAAUGUCUUUAGGGCAGUCUGUUUGUUGGCUCAGCUGUAGGGUCCUCUUAGGUUUGUGGCAGCACAGCUCUUUGGGACACAAUAGCAAAAAAAAACAUUUGGCCUAGAAAAGGCUGGAUUUAUCAUAUUUGGGCUCAUUCCAUAAGCCAGGUCUGUCCUAGUGUCUAGAUGCACAACAGGCCAAAACCAACAUGGAUCUGUAUUCUGGUCUGCAAUGGCCAGUACUUCUUUGGUCCAAAUGUGGGCCAGAUCUGUUUUACAUCAUCCUCUGGAUCACCUCUGCCUCAGCAUCAAUUGCUCAUCUGUGUCCAUGGUUGAGCCUUUCAGAUUCCAGGGGACCAUCAUCACCAACUCACUGAACAACAACAACAUGACCACCAUACUCAGAAAAGCACAGCAAAGACUAUUCUUCCUAUGCCACCUCAGGAGUGUGGUCACCACCUCCAUCACAGUCGGGUUCCCUUCUGCCUCUUCCAUCCGCAAGACCAGACUGCAGAGUGUGGUCCCCUCAGCUAAGAGGAUCAUCAGCUGUGAACUCACCAAAAUAGGCUAUCCAGAUACUUAAUUGCUCUAGCCUAGAGCAGCUCCUAUUCAGCUACCUCAGAACUUUUUGCACAAUGCAAAUGCUUCAUCACACUGUCUAUUAUCUCUCUAUGUCCUGUCCACUAUCAUGUUAUUAUUGCACUGUCUGUUGCUGCUGCACUAUUUGUUUGUUGCACUGUCCUCUCGUUGUUUGUUGUAGUGUAUGUCUUGGGUACUGUUUAAUGUUAUACUCUGGCUCUACAACUACAACUCGCAGUGAUUCUGAUUUUAGCCUUUGCUGUUCUCAAGCAUUCAGUUUGUAUAUUCACUGUAUGACACCUGUACUUCACAUCCAUAUGUGGGCCUCCCCCAAACUGGUGCCACAUAGUUGGAGGCACACAAUUGUUUGGAAUGUCUUUGUAUGCUGUAGCAUUAUGAUUUCCCUUCACUGGCCUUCAUGGCUUCACGGGGCCUAGCCCAAACCUGUUCCAGCAUGACAACACCCCUGUGCACAAAGCAAGGUCCAUUACGACAUGGUUUGCCAAUGUGGCUGUCAAAGAACUUCACUGACCUGCACAGAGCCCUGACCCCAUUGAACACCUUUGAGGUGAUUUCCCAAAAGAGUGGAGGCUUUUAUAGCAGCAAAGUGGGGACCAGCUCCAUAUUAAUGCACCUGGUUUUGGAAAAGGAUGUUCUGCAAGCACACAUGGUUGUGACAGUCAGGUGUCCACAUACAUUUGGCCAUAUAGUGUACUUACUAAACAUAAGACAUUUUAAAAGAAUGAAAAUGAUAAGAAUAUAUCUACAUAUUUACCCUCUGCUGGGCUUAUGAGAUUUUAUACAUACAGUGGCAGUUAUAUCAACCAUCACAUACAAGGGAAAACAGCCCGGAUGGUUAAAGAGCAAUGCUUAAACAAAAAUACAAAAUGUUAAGGCUCAGACUUACAGGGGAAAUUACAAGCCCUUGCAAAGAGUAUUAGAGACAAGUGUUUAAACAGGCAGAGAGGAAAUGAGCAACAGGUGCCUGUGAUGAGUAAAAAGACUAACUCAAGCUUGGGAGAUUGAGACCUCUGGUGGACAGGGUUGUACUGUUGUGUGCUGGUUUGGUUCUCUUUGGUUCAAAAAUGUAUUUCUGACUGAUCUUGUUUCUUUAGAAGUUUAACUCAGUCAUCCAUGUACAGUACUGAAACUGGUUAAGACAUUUUAUUUUGAAUAUAAGAGCUCUCCACUCUUAGUGAGAAGAUAUAUACAUGACAAUGUCCAUAAAAACUUGUGUAUUUUCUUGACAUAGAUUUUCAUUGUUUGUCUACCAAAUAUCAACUGCAAUUUUGGACAGAUAAAAUUGCUACAAUGAAGCUGUAGUCUAGUGUUCGUCAACAGUUGACUUUUUGUGUUGUAUAGGCCUUUUUUAACAAUAAUAAUAAUAAUAAUAAUAAUAAUAGUCUUUUUGUAUAUAGCACUUUUCAUUUUGAAAUUGAAAUCUCAGUGUAGUUAACAUUUAAGUUACACAUUAAGGAACCAAUGUACAAAAUCGAAUGAUUUAACAAUAAAGCUUUGAGAAUUACUACAAAUCAAAGUAUAUUUUUAAAGGACCCAAGAACUAAGGAUAGGCCAAAUUACAAUUCACAGCACAGGUCUUGCUAGGCAGCCAGUGUAGCUUGAAUAAAACUUGGUAAUAUGCUCUUACUUUCUGUUCCUGACAGAGAACACAAUCGAAUUCGGGUGUGGACCGAAAUAACCAGUUCGAGACAGUCUGAUCUAGGUUGUCUCGGUCUGGUUCCAACUCUAUCAUGGUUCCGUUACAGUGAGAAAGUGAUUUGACCCUGAAUUGACCCAGCUGCAGAAACUGUGAACCCUGUAUUAUGGUUUGCAGACAGUAUUUUAUUUCUGGUAGAUGUGACCUGCUAAACUGACCCAUGAGCCUAAGGACAGAGCUAUAGCACUGCAGAAAUGUAAUGUGCUGGAUUUUUGAACCAAUGCACAUAAAUGUUUUCAACUAGUUAUUUAUAUAAAUAUCGAAUUUUAUUCAUUUAAUUAUGCACAGUGUGAAACCAAAAUGAAACUGAUUAACAAACCAAAAGUAUCAAUAUCACUCUGGUUCAGACUAUGAAAGUCUAAAAGUACCAAAACAGAAACAGAUCCACAAUCUGACGGAUACAGUAGGUCAUUGACCAUUGUAGUUAGAUCUAAUUCUGUAAUUAUGAAAUACAUAAUACGUCGUAAUACCAGAUCACGAUGUUCAUUGGGAGGAUGUUUUCUACAUGAGUUUCUAUAGACUGGGUUCUGGAAGUCAGGCUCAUUUAUCUGAGUCUCCUUAAAUAAAUGAAAGUAGAGAGUGAAAGCAUUGCUGCAUCUCGAAGUAUUUUAAUUCAAGCAUUUUAUUUAGUAAUUACUGUGAAUUGUUUAGUAACAUUCAUGUCUGGACCCACUGACUGGUCCUGGGAGUAAAGUGUUAAUAUGAUUCAGCUGAAGGCCUCCAAUAUACUGUAUAUACUCCAAUAUACCCCCUCAACAUAAGAGGUGGAGUUAAGUAGGUUUUUUUGGUUUUAUGAAGGUUCAGUGAUAAGAUUUUCUCCUAUACACCAGGCAACAAGGAGACUGAUCUUUCAGUCAUGGCUGAACUUGUCAUGAACUUCCUGUGUUGUUAUAUUUAUUACCAAUUAUAUAUAUUAUCCAAUUACAGUGUUUAAAUCACUGGAACUCCAAAUGUUUGGUGUUGAAUGUAUGUGAGGUGGUGUUGUUCUUCACCAGACAGGUCAAACAUGUACAGUGAGAAUUUCUGAGACUGCUAAUAUUUUCAUCAUUCAUAUACAACCUUAAUACAUAGGUCCUGUUUUUUGUGAGCUGCCUUGUGAAUCGUAUCGACCUUUGCUUUAAGACUGCUCACAUCAUUUUUAUUAAAUUCUAAUAAUCACAAAUCUAACAUUAAAGGGAUAGUGGAUUUUAUAUGGUCUUAUAUAAUAACAUACUGUCAUAUGAUUAUAACAUACAUACUUAUGAUUAGCUAUAGCAGUUACCAAAUAAAUGACAGAGAAUGUAAUAAAAAGGGAUUUUAAUUAUCAACAGUGAAUU